CAAUAAGCGGAGGAAAAGAAACCAACAGGGAUUGCCCCAGUAACGGCGAGUGAAGCGGCAACAGCUCAAAUUUGAAAUCUGGUCCCUAGGGCCCGAGUUGUAAUUUGUAGAGGAUGCUUUUGGUGAGGUGCCGCCCGAGUUCCCUGGAACGGGACGCCACAGAGGGUGAGAGCCCCGUCUGGCUGGCCGCCGAGCCUCUGUAAAGCUCCUUCGACGAGUCGAGUAGUUUGGGAAUGCUGCUCAAAAUGGGAGGUAUAUGUCUUCUAAAGCUAAAUAUUGGCCAGAGACCGAUAGCGCACAAGUAGAGUGAUCGAAAGAUGAAAAGCACCUUGAAAAGAGGGUUAAAUAGUACGUGAAAUUGUUGAAAGGGAAGCGCUUGUGACCAGACUUGGGCGCGGCGGAUCAUCCGGGGUUCUCUCCGGUGCACUUCGCCGCGUCUAGGCCAGCAUCAGUUCGUCGCGGGGGAAAAAGGCUUCGGGAACGUGGCUCCUCCGGGAGUGUUAUAGCCCGUUGCAUAAUACCCUGCGGUGGACUGAGGACCGCGCAUCUGCAAGGAUGCUGGCGUAAUGGUCACCAGCGA
rnacentral:rRNA from 1 species